CACACCACCCUGAACAGGCCCAAUCUCGUCUGAUCUCAAAAGCUAAGCAGGGUCGAGCCUGGGUAGUGCUUGGAUGGAAGACUGACAGAGAAGAAAAAAGGUU
rnacentral:rRNA from 1 species